CUUGGCUCAGCCAGGGCUGUCUUCUGGGGGAAGGAACCCUGGGAUUGACACUGAGCUCUGCCCCUCCCAGAGGCUCUCUUCACUUCUGAGCAAAGCCAUGUACACCAGCUUCUGCUGCUGCUUCCCCCAGUCCUGGUUCAAUACCCACGAAUUCAAGUCAGAGAUCUGUAACACCAUGAACCUGUGGAUUUCAGGUGAGAGCGUGGGGAUUCCUACCAAUGGGGAAAAGAGGUUGGGUGUGUUUUUGGCUUCCUAGUGCUGUCCAUUAAGGUGGCUUUUCCUGUUCCCUCCUUAACCGUAGAGAGUGUAGGCAUGGUGUUGAGUGCCUGCAACUCAUGCGUGAGGGGAUAUGACAGGUCUUGUGAGCUCAAAGGCAGUCUGAACUUGUG
rnacentral:lncRNA from 1 species